rnacentral:SRP_RNA from 1 species
CCGUACUAGACGGGGAGUUGGCGGUGCCCUGUAACCCGCAAUCCGCCAAAGCGGGGUUGAAUGCCUGCUUGAGGUUUGAACAUGUAAGGUUUGCCUUGUAAAAGUGGUGAUGAGAAUGGGGUCCUGUGCAAUGGAAACCUAUGAACCUGGUCAGAGCCGGAAGGAAGCAGCCAUAAGUAGAUUCACCCAUGUGCCGCAGGGUUGCCUCAUUUGAGCUUACGUUUACAAGUAACGCUUGGUUGUUCCUAUCGAUGGCAGGGUACGG